ACUCUUUCCACGCACUGGGCUGGAAAAGUGCAUCAAGAUGUGGCCUGCACCAGUGCUUCUGCUCGUCCAGUCGGCUCUGCUGAUUCAAGGAUCUUCCGCCCAGGAUUUGGUGACCCAGACGGACAAAAUCAAGUAUGUCAGUCUACAUGGGACGGUGACCAUCAGCGCCAAAGGGAGUUCAAAUAUUUUUGAUGCUCUCAGUUGGUACCAAGUGAAACCUGGACAGGUUCCUAAACCUCUGAUCUAUGAUGCAUCAAGUCUUGCUUCUGGAACACCAUCUCGAUUCAGUGGCACACGAUCUGGCUCUGACUACACUCUGACUAUCAGUGGUGUUCAGACAGACGAUGUCGCUGAUUACUACUGUUUUGCCAGGUUUGGACCUGGAAGGUUUACACGGUGAUUGAGAGCUGUACAAAAACCUCCUUUGGUUAGAGGGAAGUGAAAGUGGAAGAUGUGAUGAUGACUGGUCCACUGAACAAAGAUCACCAAGCAGAACCAGCGUCAACUUGAACAAGUCCAAGUUCAAGGAUUCUUUGUUCCUUCAAGAAAAAAAGUCUCCUUCUGUUUGUCCAGAUCAGCCAGGCGUGUCCACAGUGGGCCCACAGGAACCGUUUGCCAUUCUUCUUGAUUGGCUUGUAAGAAAAAGUUGAAAUGAGGGAAGAAGAAGUCACACUGUUCUGUCCCAUAAACAUUCUAUACCAGGGGUCUUCAAACUUUUCCAGGCCAAAGACAAUAAAGAUGGAGUGAGGACGCCCUGGCUUGUAUAAAAUUAUAUAAUUAUUCAAAUGAAAUUGUACUAAAUGAUAUUAUUAUUAUAAAUUCAAAUUAUACUUUUAGGUUUCAUACCUCAAAUCUUCAUGAAUUAACUCCUAAGUCACUCACAUUAAACUGAAUAUUGCUCAUUUAAAUACACUAAG